rnacentral:rRNA from 1 species
AUACGUAGGGUGCAAGCGUUAAUCGGAAUUACUGGGCGUAAAGCGUGCGCAGGCGGUUUUGUAAGACAGAGGUGAAAUCCCCGGGCUCAACCUGGGAACUGCCUUUGUGACUGCAAGGCUAGAGUACGGCAGAGGGGGAUGGAAUUCCGCGUUUAGCAGGGAAAAGCGUAGAUAUGCGGAGGAAAACCGAUGGCGAAGGCAAUCCCCUGGGCCUGUACUGACGCUCAUGCACGAAAGCGUGGGGAGCAAACAGGAUUAGAUACCCUGGUAGUCCACGCCCUAAACGAUGUCAACUGGUUGUUGGGUCUUCAUUGACUCAGUAACGAAGCUAACGCGUGAAGUUGACCGCCUGGGGAGUACGGCCGCAAGGUUGAAACUCAAAUGAAUUGACGGGG